AUCGUUUCUCGGCCUAAUGACUAAAAUCAAGUGUACUAUCUGUUUUUAUUUUGACUUCUAAAUGCCUUUUGGUUGGUUACGGACCUAAUAAUAAUACAAAUAUUAUACUGUAAUUAGAUACUCAGCGUGGUGAUGUGAUCUUCAGUAUCUGUGACGGUAACUGUGAUUAUACACACAGAAUACCGUGAUUAUA